AUCGAACGCUGGCGGCAGGCCUAACACAUGCAAGUCGAGCGGAUGACGGGAGCUUGCUCCUGGAUUCAGCGGCGGACGGGUGAGUAAUGCCUAGGAAUCUGCCUGGUAGUGGGGGACAACGUUUCGAAAGGAACGCUAAUACCGCAUACGUCCUACGGGAGAAAGCAGGGGACCUUCGGGCCUUGCGCUAUCAGAUGAGCCUAGGUCGGAUUAGCUAGUUGGUGAGGUAAUGGCUCACCAAGGCGACGAUCCGUAACUGGUCUGAGAGGAUGAUCAGUCACACUGGAACUGAGACACGGUCCAGACUCCUACGGGAGGCAGCAGUGGGGAAUAUUGGACAAUGGGCGAAAGCCUGAUCCAGCCAUGCCGCGUGUGUGAAGAAGGUCUUCGGAUUGUAAAGCACUUUAAGUUGGGAGGAAGGGCAGUAAGUUAAUACCUUGCUGUUUUGACGUUACCGACAGAAUAAGCACCGGCUAACUCUGUGCCAGCAGCCGCCGUAAGAC
rnacentral:rRNA from 1 species